UGUAAAACGUACAGUAGUAUCUGUCUGUGUCUGUGACCUUCAGCUCAGACAGGGUCACGUUCACCUCCCUGACGCUGGGGUCUCCACUGACACUGAAGCGCCUCUGGUCAUCAUCACUGUCCGUGCUGAAGUCCUCCUGGGUGUGCAUGAACAUGACCUUCGUGUUCUGAAGCCAGCUGCGUUCCAGGGCAACAGCAAAAGGAGCAGGAAUCUGGAGAUGGAGCAUCAUGUUGAACUUACCAAAACCAAUGAGGGUGACAGACCAGAGAGUCCAGAAAGAAGCCAGGAGCUGGGGGCCAGUCAUCUUCUACACUGGCAGCAGACACUACAGGGAGUCUGCAGUGAAGCGACGAACCAUGACAACCUACAAAACACCUCUGGGUGUAGAUGGCUGCCUAUUAAUGAAACCAAGAAGAACUCCACUAAGCUCCACCUUCUCGAACAAGAGGAAGCUGAAACAAAGCAACAACAGUGACGAAUGGAUCAACAUAUGGUAAUAACCAUUAAAAAAUCCCUACUGAAAAAGA